rnacentral:rRNA from 1 species
UACGUAGGGGGCAAGCGUUGUCCGGAAUCAUUGGGCGUAAAGCGCGUGUAGGCGGCUUGGUAAGUCCGGUGUGAAACCUUGGGGCUCAACCCCAAGCCUGCAUCGGAAACUGCCUCGCUCGAGUCCGGGAGGGGAGAGCGGAAUUCCUAGUGUAGCGGUGAAAUGCGCAGAUAUUAGGAAGAACACCGGUGGCGAAGGCGGCUCUCUGGAACGGUACUGACGCUGAGACGCGAAAGCGUGGGGAGCAAACAGGGAUU